UAAUAUUAUAACUUGUUACCUUUUUAGAACUUAAUUUAUUAUAUUAUCCUUUUAUAGGAAAGAGAAAAAUAUGACAAAAAAAGGCAAAAAAUUAUUUUUGAUUUGCAACAAGAAAAGAACGAAAACAUAAAAAAACUGUUAGCAGGAUAUAAUGAAAAAAUUUUAAAUAUACAAAAUUAUUUUAGACUAAUCUUAGAUGAUCAAUUAGGAAUUAUUCACGCACUAGAGGAUGACAACCUUAUAAAAACUAAAAUAUUUUUUUCAAAAAAAAAGUACUUAGAAGAAUUAAAAAAAAGCAUAUUCACAGAUGGAAAAAAAUUAGAUAAUUUAGACAGAGAUGUGACGUUACUAAAAAAAGAUGUUACAUAUUAUGAAAAACUAAAAACUGAUUUAAAAAAAAUAAAAAAUAAAAGAAAAAAACAACAAAGCAUAUUAACAGAGUUAAAAUUAGAAACCGAUGUAAAAAAAAUGCUAUUUAUAAAAUUAUGUAAACAAUAUGAAGACAUCUAUAAUAAAAAUAAGAUGGAGUUGUAUAAUAAUAUACAACAAAUGUUAUUAGAAAAUCAUAUUUUAGAAACAAGAAUAAAGAUCCAAAAUAAAAAGUUUGAAAUAAAUAACUUAGAGCUGGAAAAGUGGAAAGAAUCACUUGAUAUAAAUCAAAACGAAGUCCUAAAUAAUUUUUUACAAAAUAAGUUUCAAAAUUUUGAAGUAUUAAAAAAAGAAGUUGAAGAUUUAAUAGUAAUAUAUAUAAAAAUAAUAUUAAUUUGUGUGUAAAUUAUAGUUAUAUAUAUAUAUAUAUAUAUAUAAAUGUGUCAAACGUAUUAUCUUAUUAUAUUUUUUAUGAUUUUUUUUUAUAAUACAGGAUGUACAACAAAAAAACAAAGAAAAUUAUGAAGCUAUACUACAUCUUAAUUAUGUGCCAAAUGAAGAUCUGGACAUUUUGAAAAGAGAAGAAAAUGUAUAUUAAAACAAAAUGGGGAAUCAAAAUAAAAAAGAAUAAACAAAGGAACA
rnacentral:lncRNA from 1 species